AAGUUCAUUCUUCGUUCUUGUCCAGGGCAAAUCUACCCAACCUACGGACAGACCCUCUUCAGCUGGGUUCCCACAGUGACCCCAGGUACAGGUGCUUAUGCCUAGGAAGGAAUUCAGAAGCAGGCAGGAGCUGCUCACCUCCAGGAAGGCCUUCUGAACCGUGAGCUGGCUGUACACGCGACUGCCCUCUUCCCCGCACACUUUUUUCAGUUCCUCCUUGUUGAGGGAGAAGAGCUGGGGUCCAGUUAAGAUACCCAGGUUCUCCACAAUCCUAGGGGCAGGUGGGUGUGAGGGCGGGGCCGUGGGCGGGACACUGUCCUCCAGGCUCCGCCCCACCGGCUGUACACACGGGGCUCACCUGGCACUGAAGGCCUUGGCUUCCAGCCAGGCGCGGACCUCAUCCGGACCUGACUCGAAGGUAAGCGGCAGGUGCACUGGCUGGCUGCGCUCCACGCGGAAGUUGCGCUGCGGCUGUGUCUUGAUGUGGCUGAUCUUUUUCAUGAGCUCGUCAUUGACCUCGUCCAUGUGGUGGAUUAGCUCUGUGGGGCGCACGCUCUCAGCCCCUUCACUCGGACCGUUCUCUGCCUCUUCCCCACCCUCCACAUCCUAUCACUGCCCUCCCCUACCCCUCCCCGCACUUCUAACCCCAAAGUGGAUCUACUCACCUUCUUUGUUCCCUGCGAAAAUUGGGGGCAGUUUGUGGGUGGGGCUGGCUGGACCCCAGUAUUUCUGGCCAGACUGCAAGGAGUGAGGAAGAGGUGAGGGGUAAGGUGAGAGGGGGGGCUAUUAUAUAAGGACUUACCCAGGACCCCAGAUGGAUGGGCCAGCCCUUUCUUCCCUUGAGUAAGACCCCAGGAACCCACACAGCCCUUGGCCCAGCUUGGGGGCAGCAGGUUUCCGGGGAUCAGGUUCAAAUAUCACAUUGAGACCAGCUGCACCCCUGACCUUAGGGGCUCUGACUGUGUUGUAGACAGAAUGGAGCCGUGGCAGGCGAUCACCUGUUCCAAGGGGGCACCCAUGUCCUCCUGCCGAGCUUCAGCUAGGAUGUUGCAGGGCACAUAGCCCGCCUGGCCACUGCGAUUUCGUAGCUUCCACCACUGCCGGCCAUCCUCCAGCACCUGCCAAGUGUCCAGAUGUCUGUGAGACUCACCAACAUCCUCGUGCAGACCUCAAGUACUAUUAGAGUCAGAUGCUGGGGACACUUGCCAAACCCUUCACAGAGGGCCAAAGCAUUGUCCAGGUAUCUCAAGCACAGCUCUCCAUCCUCUGGACAUGUCUUGGCCUGAUGGGCUACCCAGUGCCUGCCUGACCUCCCCAGUCCUGGAGACAGGGUACCUCUUAACCUGAUUCUGAAUGCAGAGCUUCCCCCAGCCUGCUCCACUUUCUGUCCCUCAAUAGGUGGCCUGGAUUCAGGUUAGGCACAAAUAAGUUGGUCCAGGGUGGUGAUCUUGGGUGGCCAUGAAUGACAAGCCCCUACUGGCUUCUACCGAAGGGCCACCCACCACGGUAGACCUUCAGGGAUCCCCCAGACAUCAGAAGGCAGCUCAGUGGCUCAGCCAGACUGUGGUGGGGGUCAGAGAGGCCACUGGAGGCCCAGUAGGAAGCCAGGUCGAGCACACUGGGAAGAUGGGUGGAUUACAGACCAUGGUCCCAGAACACGCCCCACUUCCCCUGUAUAGCCCCGGUCCUUACCUCUAGGACCUCGUCCUUGAGCACAGAUAGCUCAUUGGCGUUUCGCGCUGUGAAAUCAUAGAGGAUCUUGACGUACUUGGUCAUGGCUGGUGUUGGCUGGUAGCCCCUGCAGGACCAGGAAGAGUUGAGACCCAGGGCUGGAUGGAAGUCUCUUCCUGCUUCCCAGCUGCAGCUGCCUCCUGUUCUGCUGCCCAGGUUGCAGUGAAGAGAGGCUGUGCUUCUCAGCCAGGAGUGGAAACUGUGACACUCCAGCAGGCGGGGGUNNNNNNNNNNNNNNNNNNNNNNNNNNNNNNNNNNNNNACGGGACUCCAAGAGGCUGGCCCAGCUCAAACUAUCUUGGGGAGUCUCUUGCCCUGCUCCUCAGAGGGACUAGAGCAAGAGGUGUGCCUAGGGAGUGACAGGGUCACAUGUUCCCAGUUGACCACUGGGCUAGGGUUAGGAGAUUUUCAGUUACAGCCCCUUAGAGAUAUUAUGUGUCCUUUCUGGAAGUCCCCUUGCAUCUCUGGAGCAGGGGUGAGCUCUGGCUAAUGGUUUCCCCCCUAGCCAGGUCAUGUUCCUGGUCAGUGUGGCACUGGAGAGGGAGGAGGGGUGGGGGAUCCAGGUCUGUGCCCAGUGUAUUGAUAGGCUGAGAAUGUCCCAUACAUAUGAUCCCAGUAGGGACACUGGAUAGCAAGCUAAAGAAGCCCAAGGAGAGGGGUUCACUUUGAAAAGGAGCCGUAGGGUACGAGUAAGAACCAGAGGAGGGGGGAGGUAAGAGGGAUACCUCCAUGUCUUGGGCUUCUGUUUAACUCACGGGGAGUGUGGGAUGCUUAGUGGGGGAGGGGAUAAUCAGAGCCCCUUGUCUGAAUCCCCAGCAGCACCAUAGUGGGUGGUGCUUGGAGGAGUCGCUGGUGGUGUUUGUUUCUUUCUUUCCUUUUUUGGUUCAGUGAGUUUCUAACCUUGAUUUUAAUUAUUUAAAAAUUUGACAGCGUCUCACUAUGCAGCCAUUGACUGCCUGAGACUCACAGAGAUCUGUCUGCCUCUGCCUCCUGAGUCCUGGGACCAAAGGUGUGGGCUUCCACAUCCAAUCUCUGUCCCUUUCUAACAUUGAUUAUGAAACAAGAAAGUAUAGAAAGAAGUAAUGUAGCCAGGCAACCAGCACUCAGAAGGCAGAGGCAGGCAGAUCUCUGACUUCAAGGCCAACAUGGUCUACACAGAGAGUUCCAGGACAGCCAGAGGGCUACACAGAGAAACCCUGUCUC
ensembl:processed_transcript B230206H07Rik RIKEN cDNA B230206H07 gene